rnacentral:rRNA from 1 species
AUUGAACGCUGGCGGCAGGCCUAACACAUGCAAGUCGAACGGUAACAGGAAGAAGCUUGCUUCUUUGCUGACGAGUGGCGGACGGGUGAGUAAUGUCUGGGAAACUGCCUGAUGGAGGGGGAUAACUACUGGAAACGGUAGCUAAUACCGCAUAACGUCGCAAGACCAAAGAGGGGGACCUUCGGGCCUCUUGCCAUCGGAUGUGCCCAGAUGGGAUUAGCUAGUAGGUGGGGUACCGGCUCACCUAGGCGACGAUCCCUAGCUGGUCUGAGAGGAUGACCAGCCACACUGGAACUGAGACACGGUCCAGACUCCUACGGGAGGCAGCAGUGGGGAAUAUUGCACAAUGGGCGCAAGCCUGAUGCAGCCAUGCCGCGUGUAUGAAGAAGGCCUUCGGGUUGUAAAGUACUUUCAGCGGGGAGGAAGGGAGUAAAGUUAAUACCUUUGCUCAUUGACGUUACCCGCAGAAGAAGCACCGGCUAACUCCGUG